AGCCCGUGGCGGGGUGCUACACAUGCAGUCGAACGAUGAAGCUGGGGCUUGCUCUGGUGGAUUAGUGGCGAACGGGUGAGUAACACGUGAGCAACCUGCCCUGGACUCUGGGAUAAGCGCUGGAAACGGCGUCUAAUACUGGAUACGAGACGUGGCCGCAUGGUCAACGUUUGGAAAGAUUUUUCGGUCUGGGAUGGGCUCGCGGCCUAUCAGCUUGUUGGUGAGGUAAUGGCUCACCAAGGCGUCGACGGGUAGCCGGCCUGAGAGGGUGACCGGCCACACUGGGACUGAGACACGGCCCAGACUCCUACGGGAGGCAGCAGUGGGGAAUAUUGCACAAUGGGCGGAAGCCUGAUGCAGCAACGCCGCGUGAGGGAUGACGGCCUUCGGGUUGUAAACCUCUUUUAGCAGGGAAGAAGCGUGAGUGACGGUACCUGCAGAAAAAGCGCCGGCUAACUACGUGCCAGCAGCCGCGGUAAUACGUAGGGCGCAAGCGUUAUCCGGAAUUAUUGGGCGUAAAGAGCUCGUAGGCGGUUUGUCGCGUCUGCUGUGAAAUCCCGAGGCUCAACCUCGGGCCUGCAGUGGGUACGGGCAGACUAGAGUGCGGUAGGGGAGAUUGGAAUUCCUGGUGUAGCGGUGGAAUGCGCAGAUAUCAGGAGGAACACCGAUGGCGAAGGCAGAUCUCUGGGCCGUAACUGACGCUGAGGAGCGAAAGGGUGGGGAGCAAACAGGCUUAGAUACCCUGGUAGUCCACCCCGUAAACGUUGGGAACUAGUUGUGGGGUCCUUUCCACGGAUUCCGUGACGCAGCUAACGCAUUAAGUUCCCCGCCUGGGGAGUACGGCCGCAAGGCUAAAACUCAAAGGAAUUGACGGGGACCCGCACAAGCGGCGGAGCAUGCGGAUUAAUUCGAUGCAACGCGAAGAACCUUACCAAGGCUUGACAUACACGAGAACGGGCCAGAAAUGGUCAACUCUUUGGACACUCGUGAACAGGUGGUG
rnacentral:rRNA from 1 species